AAUACCUUUCUCGUCAAAAGCACGUCAGAAAAGUGUAUUUUGGAAUGAAAAACGAUGAAAAUGAUAAAUAUUACCACUGUGAGAGAAACGGAACGGAAAAAAAAAUCAGAUAGCUCAACCUGAUUGGCUAAAAGAAAGAAUCACGCACAAUCACAAAGGCAAAUGCAGAUGAACGUCAAUCCUCCAAAAAUCAAUCCAAGGAAUCGUGCUUUCUUCAGAACAAAGCGAGAAGAUGGAAAACAGUGAGGAACAGAAGUACGGAGUUCGGAAAUUAGAGAUCUCAGACAAGAGCAAAGGCUUCAUCGAGUUGCUGCAGCAACUCAGCGUUUGCGAUUCCGUCUCUGACAGAGAUUUCGAGGAUCGAUUUCGAGAGCUCAGUGCCGUCGGAGAUGACCACGUUAUCGGCGUGAUUGAAGACGAGGCUUCUGGAAAGAUCAUUGCGACGGGGAGCGUGUUUAUUGAGAAGAAAUUUUUGAGAAAUUGCGGCAAAGUUGGGCACAUUGAGGACGUUGUUGUGGAUUCAAGCGCACGUGGGAAGCAUUUGGGAAAGAGAAUUGUAAGCUUCCUGACGGAGCAUGCUCGUUCCAUUGGAUGCUAUAAGGUCAUUCUUGAUUGCAGCCUCGAGAAUAAGGCGUUCUACGAGAAAUGUGGCUUCCAGCACAAAUCUCUUCAGAUGGCUAUGUAUUUUGCUCACCACUAGUUUUCUACUGUCUUGGCUUCUUUGAUGUUGGAGUCGACGAGCUCUGGGAGGCUAAUAAUGCUGGGUAAGAAGGAGAAUGAAAUGGCAGAGCUGGAGAAAAUUUUGGAGUUGUACUUACUGACUAGCUGACACUUGGAGUUAAAUAUUUGUGGCAUGUGCCCAUUUUCUAUUUUAUUUUCAUAAUAUGAAUACUCACUAUGUCUGACUUUUGUAUAUUUUUCUUUGCCUCAUUUAUACAAUUUUGAAGGUUAAUUAUAGUUCAUGAUCUCAACUUAAAAAUAGAUGGGAUGCCUAAGUAUGGCCCUUUUUGUACUUCCGAUACCAUAUGUGCUAGUAGAAGUAUGUUAGUAGUUAUAGUGUAUAAACCAAUUCCGGACCAUCAAUUUUACGGAUUAUAGUUUACAAUCCUGUCAUGAUCGCUUGCUAUUUAAUCUGUUUAGUAUUUUACCCUUG